CCAGACUCCUACGGGAGGCAGCAGUGGGGAAUAUUGCACAAUGGGGGAAACCCUGAUGCAGCGACGCCGCGUGAGUGAAGAAGUAUCUCGGUAUGUAAAGCUCUAUCAGCAGGGAAGAAAAUGACGGUACCUGACUAAGAAGCCACGGCUAACUACGUGCCAGCAGCCGCGGUAAUACGUAGGUGGCAAGCGUUAUCCGGAUUUACUGGGUGUAAAGGGCGUGUAGGCGGGACUGCAAGUCAGAUGUGAAAACCACGGGCUCAACCUGUGGCCUGCAUUUGAAACUGUAGUUCUUGAGUACUGGAGAGGCAGACGGAAUUCCUAGUGUAGCGGUGAAAUGCGUAGAUAUUAGGAGGAACACCAGUGGCGAAGGCGGUCUGCUGGACGGUGACUGACGCUGAGGCUCGAAAGCGUGGGGAGCAAACAGGAUUAGAUACCCCCGUAC
rnacentral:rRNA from 1 species